CCGCGUGAGUGAAGAAGGUUUUCGGAUCGUAAAACUCUGCCGUUAGGGAAGAACACGUAUGAGAGUAACUGCUCGUACCUUGACGGUACCUUAUUAGAAAGCCACGGCUAACUACGUGCCAGCAGCCGCGGUGAUACGUAGGUGGCAAGCGUUGUCCGGAAUUAUUGGGCGUAAAGCGCGCGCAGGCGGUUCUUUAAGUCUGAUGUGAAAGCGAGGGGAGCAAACAGGAUUAGAUACCCUGGUAGUCCACGCC
rnacentral:rRNA from 1 species